rnacentral:misc_RNA from 1 species
UUGAAUGGGGCCCUUUGGCCACCUUCUUCCAAACCUGUGGAAAUGAGAAGUGCUUUGGUGCCUUGUGUGCCAAGUCCAUGCAAAUUAGCCUUGUGUCUGAUUGGAAACAAAUUUUA